rnacentral:lncRNA from 1 species
GCGCGCCUGACUCGCCAGGCAGCGCGCUCUAGGUUCUUCCGCCGGCCGGCUGGUCCGACUUCCACGUUAGCCUACGGCCGCGAGGUGAAAGGGGAGCGUGGAGCAUUUCCAGUGGCUAAAGAUGAGUGCUUCAACGGAUCAUCCGAAGAGGUUCUGCAGGGCUAGAGAGACUCCAAACACAAGAAUUGGGCAAACACUGAACUGGAUGUGGUUGCUGAAUUGUUUCUGUCCUUAUCUUGUUGAGAUGUUUUACAUCUUUCAUCAGAAAUUUCUCCACUGUCCUUGAGCUAGUGUUUUCCAAAUGCCAGUCGAUAGAGCAGUGCUGAUCUGUGACAACAUUUUCACUGAUCUGUAGUCAUAUCAAAGAAUAAAAAAAUAGGCUGGACAAAGUGGCUCAUGCCUGUAAUUCCAGCACUUUGGGAGGCCAAGACAUGCAGAUCACUUGAGGUCGGGAGUUCAAGACCAGCCUGACCAACAUGGAGAAACCCCAUCUCUACUAAAAAUACAAAAUUAGCCGGCCGUGGUGGCACGUGCCUGUAAUCUCAGCUACUCAGGAGGCUGAGACAGGAGAAUUGUUUGAACCCUGGAGGUGGAGGUUGCGGGGAGCCGAGAUUGCGCCAUUGCACUCCAGCCUGGGCAACAGGAGAGAAACUCCGUCUCAAAAAAAAAAUAAAAAUAAAAAAUAAAAAAUAAACAGAAAAAUAAAAAUUCAUAUUUCUCAAGUGAGGUUUUCAUAAAAUUAAACUCCUCAAUUUGAAGGGUUUUCUUUUAUUCUAAAAUUAUGUCCUUCUUCAUUCUGGUUUCUCUUCAGAUUGUAUAAACCUUUUGGUUUUUACUCAAAUUAUGUUCUCAUACAUUUUGAUGUUAAAAUAUCCUUAUUUUUAGUGGGAAGAUGGCAAAAAUGGAUGGUAGUUUUAAAAAUAUCUUUACUUGGCGCAAUAAAUACCUGGCAACCAUAUAUUGAUUUCCUCUCUACUUUUUAAAAAUAUAUGUUAGUCUAUAAAAUAUAAAAUCUGAAAACCAUGGCUCUAAAUGCCUCUAAGUCUCUCACGGCUCACUUCCCAUGCGAGUGCACAUGGGGAAAGUUGUUACAGUCCCCAUCAGCAGGAGGAACACAGGAGACCCAAGUUCAAAUCUUGCUUCUCCACUUACUGGUCCUUUGACCUGGAAUAAGACAUUUGGUUUUAUCUGUAACAUAGCAAUGAGUAUUGUACCUACCUUAUAAUGGUUUUUAUGGGGUGCUCAGUAGAUGUUUGCUCUAAUGACUACUAUUACUAAUUUCAGGUAAUUUUUUUUGUCUCUCAAAUUAUAAUUAGAGUUUAGACUUUAAAGACCAGAUCUUUUCAUUUAAAUUUUUAUAUCUCAAAAUACUGUCUGAAUGAUGGACAAAUCUCUCCUUAAGGUAACCAUUUAAAUUCAUUCUCUGAAAAAAAAUGUAUUGCAUCAUGAAAUGAAAAUCACCUUUAAAAAUAUAAAUUGCAAAGUGAAUGGUGAUUUUCCUCUGACUUUCCAUUGAUACCAUAAGGAGCUGGAUUGUCAGAAUCCUUUAGAAUUGUAAAAAAAAUGGCAAAGGGGACAGGGGCCUGUUCCUCAUUUGUUUUGAGUAGACACUUAUCACCAACACACCAUAGGUCUAAUCCUGUCUAAAUCUAGAAAUAAGAGCUUAGAUUCAAUAACUUCUAAAAAUUCCCCAGAUCAGAGCAAUUGGAUUUAAGCUUCAUAAGCAGUGAAUAUUGUAUAACUUUUAAUUGCCUAAUUGUAGGCUUAAGCAUGUUAAGCUAUUUUCAUUUCAAAGUUUCAAGCCCAAGUCUAUUUAAAUAAGCUGAAAUCAAUGGCACUUCAUAAACUGCCUCUUUUACAAGAAUUCCAGAGUCAUUCUCUGUCCCUUUUUUCUUUGUGACAGCUUCAACUUUUAUGCUUUCAGAACAGAUCACUGGCAGAAUGUUCCUACAGUAGAAAUAAAACGACUUUGUAGUUUUUCUUCAUUAUCAAGAUCUGAAAUAUUUUAACAAAUGUUAGUCGGUUGGUGAGGCCUGGCAAGCUCUGGAAGGAGCUCUGGAGAGGAACCAAACUAUGUCUCUCACAUGUUCCCACGCUUUCUUAUGUAAUAAAAAGAGUC